rnacentral:rRNA from 1 species
GGACUACCGGGGUUUCUAAUCCUGUUUGCUCCCCACGCUGUCGCGCCUCAGUGUCAGCCACUGCCCAGCCGGCCGCCUUCGCCACUGGUGUUCCUCCGGAUCUCUACGCAUUCCACCGCUACACCCGGAAUUCCACCGGCCUCUACAGUGCUCGAGCCUCGCAGUCCGCACGGCCGAUCCGGGGUUGAGCCCCGGACUUUCACCGCCCGCUUACAAGGCCACCUACGCGCCCUUUACGCCCAGUGAUUCCGGACAACGCUCGCACCCUCCGUAUUACCGCGGCUGCUGGCAC